rnacentral:lncRNA from 1 species
UGUUGUCCUUCACAGCAGCGUGUAUCUACUGGAUUACUCACUCCCCAGAGCCAGCACUCUGUCGGUCAAGGUGUGCUGAGUGAGUGCUACUGUGUGCAAGCACGUACUCUGCAAGGUGCCAGGGACAGGUGAUCAUAGAAUGCGCAGUCCCUGACCCCCGAGGGAGACAGACCCAUCACAGUGCCCUGGACCAUGGCUCUGAUGGACCAAUACCCAGAACUCUGUGAGAACCAACACUGGACAGCCAGAGAAGAGCUUAGAGACAGAGACCUUGGAGAGAGACCAAACCAGUGGCGAUUGGUGUUGUGAGAGUGGAAGAAAUGUUUGCACAGCAGAAUCGACAUUCAGAGCCAGCUAAGAAGCACUCGGAGUGCAGUUCUGCGAGCUUUUAUUGUACCCGCCGUGGACAAGGCCCCGAAUGCUAGAGAUACAGAUGCAGCAGGAGAUUCCUCCAUCCUGUUUGGGGUCCAACAGCAUCAACAGCCCAGAAGUGAAAGCUGAGAAGACAGAGGUCUUAGUGAUCUAGAGUUAAUUUGUUGACGGAUGGGUCCAGCAAAAGAAGGGAAAGUGAGGGAAUCCAGAAUACUAACUAAGAAGCGGCUCAGACAAUCAACCAUGUGAGUGCACAAUGAAAAGUAUCCAGGGCAGUACUUGGAGGUGGGACAUUUUUGACUCUGUGUGGAAGAGUAGGCAGGGAAGGAAGGGGCUCACAAGAGAGCUGGAUAAGAAGCUGGUCAGAGAUGCUUAGGUAACAAGAGCCCGAGAGGGCCCUGAGCUAGCUGGGAAAUCAGUCCUGGAACCACACGGAUUGUGGUGUCCAGGAUGUGUUGGCACCAAGACUAGUCCCCAGAGCUGUCCCAUUUCCAACCACUGCACGCACCCGGAGGAGCUGAGUUAACUGUGCUUUGCGUGGCCAGAGGGUCCUGGGCUGCAUUUGCAACAGUAUGUGCGCUCUUUAUGGGUGAGACCUGCCUACUGAGGUGACAGGGAUCUUUUCUUGGUCCUCAGAAAAGCAUGUGGUAGCAUUCUUCCAAAGCAAUGCCACCUUGUGUUUCCAGUGUUCCCG